CUAUUUGUUUUAUCGAAAUUUGAAAUACAUAAAAGCUGAUUUGACCGAUUAUUGUCUUGGCAUGUUUUGAAUUCGUUGUUAUCGUGUUUCGGAGAACGUCUACAUCACGUGAUCAAUACCUGACAUACUUCUUGAUUUCAAUUGGUGAAUUUGACUUCGAAUUCGUUGAAGACAUUUCAAAACGGUGAAAGAUUUGAUAGAGAGGGAUCUCUGCCUUAAUCACUGUUUCUUGCUCAGUCAAGGCAGUCGUUUGCCGGCUAUUGCGGAACACAGAGUAGUGCGAUAAGUUACCUUCUUCUUUGAAAAUGUCUAACAAGUGUCCAAUGUGUAACACGAUUUUCGAUAUGGCGGUGUUAUUGGACGUACAUCAAUGUUUUCUAGGAGAUUAUGUCUGCGGGGAUUGUAACGGAAAGUUCAAAACCAGAUUGCAAUUGGUCAACCAUAUCUGCAGUGAUAAGAAAAAAUCUCAAAAUAAAUAAAGAAAACUAUUAGUACAUAUAAACUAUACUAAACAUACAUUUAGUAUAUUAAUAUUGUACAAGAAAAAGAAGAAUGUUCAGAAUGUCAAAUAAUAUAAAAUAUUAUAAAUAUUACAAAUAUUAAUUACAAUUUGCACGUGGUCAACGUUCUCAUAUUAUCGCAAAAGAUACAAACAACUAAUAUAACAGAAACAACACUGAGUUUUAUUGUAAUCUACCUGAAAUUGACGGAAGAGACACAAUCAAAAGACGAUAAAACAUAUGGACCAACUAGAAACAUUCAGGAUAGAUUAAUUAGUAUUGACAAUGUAUAUUAUUAGUAUUGACAAUGUAUAUUACCAAAGUAUAUUAUUUCCGUUUUUAUGUUGUUAACAGAAUUUUUGGCGUACCACAAUAAGAACUACAAUCAAACUGAUUUUUUACUAAUACGAUAAUAGUUUUGAUACUUAUAACUCUACUGCUUUCUAUUUUUUGUAUAUUUAAUAUUUUUUCUAUUCACCUAUUUUUAUCUAGUUCAUUUUAUACAAAUAUACAUUGUAUGUACAUGUAUAUAUAUAAUUAUCAAACUCAGAGAUAUUUUACGAACGUUGUAGUAUGUCUAAGAGUAUUAAAAAUAUGUAUAAAAAACAGUAAAUUGUUUUAUACAUUUUUAAAGAGAAAAUAACAUAUAAAUUUAUAAAAAAUUGUAUAAUUUAUUUUAUAUUAAUAUACUGAAUACACUUAAGUGUAUUCAGUGAACAAAGCAAGCCGCGACAGCCUCCGAAGAUUUAAUAAGCUCGAGUUAAUAAAUCCUCUUUUACUAAAAUGACAUAUGUCUAUAGAAAAGUAAUCACAUAAGAGAGAGAGGAGUUAAAGUUAAAAGUUAAAAGUUAAAAGAAGUUAAAAGUCGUAAAAGAAUAAAUAAUGCCUUUAAAUACACUUCCACUGUAAAUAUGUUUUAUGCUACAAUUUUAGACUAAACGGAUAAUAGAAAUGUUAAUAAAAUUACAAUUCAUAAAUUGUACAAGACUCUUUAAUGAAAAAUAAUUCUGCACAACAUAAUCAUUUAUUGUAAUUGUAAACUUAAAAUAAAGAUUUUGAUACAGAGACCCCUACACAUGUAUGUAUGUGUAUGUUUAUAUAAAACUCUACCGCAUCAUACACAAAUUUUUUACGAUUAUCCUGUGUAAGAAGCGGCUUUAUGAUUUAUAAAAAUUAUAGCACUUAUCAAAUCUUGUAAUAAGCACCUUCGAGACCAACAAUAUUGUAU